rnacentral:rRNA from 1 species
AUUGAACGCUGGCGGCAUGAUUUACACAUGCAAGUCGAACGGUAACAGGCCGCAAGGUGCUGACGAGUGGCGAACGGGUGAGUAAUGCAUCGGAACGUGCCCAGCCGUGGGGGAUAACUACUCGAAAGAGUAGCUAGUACCGCAUACGAUCUAUGGAUGAAAGCGGGGGACCGUAAGGCCUCGCGCGAUUGGAGCGGCCGAUGUCAGAUUAGGUAGUUGGUGGGGUAAAGGCUCACCAAGCCAACGAUCUGUAGCUGGUCUGAGAGGACGACCAGCCACACUGGGACUGAGACACGGCCCAGACUCCUACGGGAGGCAGCAGUGGGGAAUUUUGGACAAUGGGCGCAAGCCUGAUCCAGCAAUGCCGCGUGCAGGAAGAAGGCCUUCGGGUUGUAAACUGCUUUUGUACGGAACGAAACGGCUCCGGUUAAUACCCGGGGCUAAUGACGGUACCGUAAGAAUAAGCACCGGCUAACUACGUG